GCGCGUCGUUGCGGAAAUGACGUGAUCCAGGCGGAAGUGACGAGCCGUUGUGAUGGAUGAGCCGCUGCUGCUGCUGUGAUGCUCCUCUUCUGAAGGAAAGCUCAUUUCUCCAGCAACAUCCAGCAUGAACUGAUCGCUGCACGGACUGACAGCUGUGAUUGAGUGUGUGUGUGUGUGUGUGUGUGUGUGAUGGCUGGGAAGGUGAAGUGGGUGACGGACAUGGAGAAAUCGGUGCUGAUCAAUAACUUUGAGAAGAGAGGAUGGAUCCAGGUGACGGACAGCGACGACUGGAACUUCUACUGGCAAGAGCUCGUUUCAUUUCAUCCGUUCACACUGACACUGCAAAGCUGAAGUACACACUGAAGCACUUGAUCAGAUCAGUGCUAGGGCUGAAUCCAGUUUCACACACACACUACUGGUGUUCAGAUGAACUGUUUGAGCCGUUCACGGUGGACUGUGGUCGUACGACUGUGUCCUGAGGGAAAUACUACUGUGCUGUAUGAGUGGGGGAUUCACACAUAAACUUGCUUUAAAUAUUUCACUGAUGUUUUCAGACAUUACAAACAAAGUCUGGAGGAUUCGUGAACAUUACUUUAAAAACAUUUACUUACAAUUUAAGACUUUUUUUAACAUAAUUUCCAAAACCUGUCCUAAAAAAUCUCCUUAACGCAACAGUCUGAAAACAUCAACACUGUUAGAAUAGCAAACAUUUCCACAUCUUUAAAAAUGGGUUAUUAACAGUCAUGCACAUUUACUUUAUAAUGAUAUCAAAUAAUAUUUAUUUUUAAAUUAUUUUUUUGUGUGAUUUCUCUCAUUUCCCACAACCCCUUGCUCCUACAAUUUACAAUCUACAAUUUUUAUAUAAUUCAAUGAAAAUAUAUUUUUCAAAAUGAUAUGACCUGAAAGAUCAUAAUGUGUAGAUUCUGUACAUACAUUUAUACCUAAACUAAUAUUUUCUAUUAAUUAAUUUAACAUUUAAUGAACUUCUGUUGUGGUGAUGAUACACAAGUUAUGGAUAUGAGGUUGAUUAUUUCAGUAAUGAUAAUAAGUAUACUAGGCUUUUGUUAAAAACAGAAUAAUAUUUUCAGGUUCAGAUCAGUUUUAUUUUGUAGUGCUUCAAAAAUACACAAUCAAAGAACAAAACAAAGAGUGGCAGGUUGUAGAUCUGGAAUAAUGGCUUUAGUUAGUUCACCCAAAAAUGAAAAUUAUGUCAUUAAUGAAACUGAUCACUUAAAAACACACCUUACAUGUAUUUCCUAUAGUAGUAACUAUAAAUCAAGCAGAAUUACAUGCAAUUAACCCUCAACCAAAUCCUGAUCCUUUAAAAAAAAAAAA